GAGAGGCAGCUGAAGUUGACAGUCGAGUGUGACAGUAGAAACACUCACAGUCUUGCUUUCUACGCUCCUGUAACUUUAAGGCAAGGGUUUGACCCGUGCUGAAGACCCACUAGGAGGUUUGGAAUGGUGUGACUUAUCAUCAAUGCCUGCAGGUACGCCCUGAAGAAGAUCCGGGCUGCCGUCCGCAGUGAGGAGCAGCCAAAGGCCUCCAGCGGUGCAGAACGUAGCAAGGUCAAAGGGAGGAAGGGGGGCGAUGAGGACGGCGGAGAUGGGCGGGGCUUCAUGCCGGUCCCGUCCUUAGAGGUGGCGGAGCAGGACGAGAUGACGCAGUGCGGCUCCUGAGGUUAAAGGUCGGGGAGGCCAAUCCAUGAGAAGACACACACACACACACAGAUACAUACACCCACACGGACACACUGACACGCGCACGCACACACAAACACAUACACCGACACACACAACGACACACACACACACUUAAACAACGGCCUAUUUCUACCACUUUCACCUACACUAGAAACUCUUCACAGAAGGAUGAAAAUUAACAAAAUGCACGCUGACGACACCACCACCCACCCACCUCUACCUGAUCAGCCUUUGUCCCUCUGGGAUCAGCGGGAUUCACUUCCUGAACAGUUCCCCCACAAUACUCGCUCUCUUCCUCUUGAGGCUCUCACACACACACAUACUGGGAUUUCAUCAGGGUUUCAAACUGAGGCUGUUAACACAAAAGCCUCUUUGUUCGUCAGACAUUUGAGAUAUAUAUUAAGGUCUGCACACACAGACACACACACACACACACACACACACACACACACACAAAGGAACAC